UACGAAGGGGGCUAGCGUUGCUCGGAAUGACUGGGCGUAAAGGGCGCGUAGGCGGCGCAUUUAGUCAGGCGUGAAAAUUCCUGGGCUCAACCUGGGGACUGCGCUUGAUACGGGUGUGCUUGAGGAUGGAAGAGGCUCGCGGAAUUCCCAGUGUAGAGGUGAAAUUCGUAGAUAUUGGGAAGAACACCGGUGGCGAAGGCGGCGAGCUGGUCCUUACUGACGGCUGAGGCG
rnacentral:rRNA from 1 species